GCCAAGAUGGCACAGUGGUUUGAGUGUUGGACUGCGACUUUGGAGACCAAGGUUCAAAUCCAUGCUCAGCCA